rnacentral:lncRNA from 1 species
UAAGUUCGACAUUUAAUAUCAUCCCUCUCGGCACUCUGUAAUAGAGACCUAUAAAAGAAAUCCCGGGAACACAAAGUAGAUAAAUUACAAGCAUCAACAUAGACAUACGGUGAUGCGUAAGUUUAAUUAUCACAAACCAAAUGAAGUACCAUUUCUAUCAAAACUCUGGAAUGCACAAUUAACACACUAAUUAUUACUGUACAGGGACAAAAUAAGCUCAGCUUGGGCACAAAAACUUGACUAGAAAUCGCAAGAUAUUAAAAUAAUCCAUUUUCUAGUCCACACAGUAUUACAAAGGAGAUCAAUAAAACUAUACCACCUAUGGGUCAAGUAAAUAUAUUUCUUUGAGCAUUCUAGUCAUCCCUCUCAUCCACUAGCGGAGCUACCUCUUGGCGAAAUAGGCUAUGGCCCGCCCAUGUUGUAGCAAGUUUAAUGGAGGUUGAUGGGUAAAUUAGACCAAGCUGAUAAAAAUAGUUGGCUUUCUUUGUACUAGCCCGCCCAGGUUUGGGGCUGUAGCUCCGCUACUGCUCUCAUCGCAACAAGGACCUGCAGAAAGUAGAAACAUUGUUCAGAAAUUGGUUGGGUACCCAUACUUUUGUACUGAGGUAAACCUUUUCAUCGAACUGUUGCCAAAUUUUCAAAGAACUUGAACUUCAGAUUUAGAAGAAAUUCAGACCUCACCUGAGUGAGUACUGAAGAUGCAAAGAAUAGGCUUUUUAGGGACUUUGACUUUGGCAACUUGUUUUUGCUGCAACCUGCAAAAAAUAGGAACAAGAUAAGAUUUUUUUCAAGGGGAAGUUAACAGGGUUUGGCGUUCGAAUGAUCUAGGGGGUUCUGUCCAAACUUUUUCAGAGUUUUUAUGUAAAUAUGCAUCGAUCAGCAAAUAGCAUCAUUUUAAGCAACAAAAUUUUGAUAGCAAUCAACUUUCUAAAAACAACAAACACAGUAGUGCAGCAGCAUGCACAUUCAUCUUCCUGAAUUUAUUCUCACUUUCUGUAAAUGCCAAACCAGAAUACAUAGCAGUAGCAACCCCACAUACACAUUCAUCUCUCAAAUCUCUCUCAAACUCGCUCACUUCCUGUAAUGCAAUAGGAUUGAGGGUCGGGAGCAGAGGUAUCUGGAAAGAACAAUUAAUUGGCUGAUGGAUUCGAAGUUGAGAUCAAACAAAACAAGUUAAGAUUAAAGAACAAUUGAUUGUUCCCCAGAUUGAAUGGAAGGAAACGAACAAAAUGAAUCAAUUUGAUUACUGAUUGCGCUGCGGCAGCUACCUUUGUCGAGCUUGAGCAGUUCGUUGAGGGGCACCUUGGGCGGCAUGCUUGGCCUCCUCGUUCUCCUCCACGUCAAGGUUGCUAGUCUGCUCCUUCUCCUUCUCCUUCCUACUUCCUUCUCGAUCGAAGUAACAACAUAAACACCACCACUAGCAACAUUAAAGGUGUGCGUAAGGGUUAUGGUCGAAUCAACAUUCAGUACCUCUCUAGCUUCGCUAGUCACCGCACUAGAACUGAACUUCAGAUAGAAAAUAGAGGCAACAAUAGCAGCAAUUGGUAGCUGUUUAGGGGCAUGCAUCAGCAACAACAGAAAGGAUGCGGCUGUGCCGGGCAGUCCUAGGUGCAGUAGCAGCUUGCUGCAAGGAGCGGCUUGCACUCAGCUCCUUGAGCGACCAGCCAUAAAGGAACCAGUUGGACUGUUGAGCUGGAGGUCCUUGACCCCGUGACUCCUCCAGCAGGCUCCACUUUUUGCUGCUGAAGCAUAAGGCAUGGCCUUGGAGAGGUCAUGUUGCAGGGUGUCGAGUGCCUCGUAGAGAUGGUUGGCGCAGACGCAUCCGGAGCAGGGAACCGAAGCCAUGCUGCAGGGAGACCGGCGGCGACACUCGGGGUAGAGAAGCCAGCCGAGGUCCACAUGUGAGGUCGGAGGUUGCGGAUCCCAGGCAUGCGGCAACGGAUGGAGGUUAGAGCCAGUGGAUGCUCGAGCAUGGGAAAAUCCUUGAACUUGGCGUACACCAGUAGUAGCACUUACUGGUUCUCCGCCACCUAAAAUGCAGAACACAUGGAAAAUAAGAAUUGCACUGAUCCAAAAUUAGAUUAUGACUGAGUGUGUCACUUGUGUGUGAUCAUUUCUUGUGAAUAUUCCAUCAAACAGGUUUGGUGUCACUUGAUGCAAGAACACAAAACAAGCAUACCGAAAGCUAUAGUUCUUUCAUUCAGCUAUUUUCUGAACUGAGCAGUGCAUUUCUCACUCUCAACAUGUGAAAAAUUCCAAUUAUCUGACGGUAACUAUAUUUGAACUCUGAACUACUAUUGUAACUAUUUUUUGAACUGUUUUAGUUACUGAAGUUUUUGUGGUCUAGGCCCUAAACCACAGUAUGCAUUCCUAUUUUUUGUUUAACAAACUAUAGAAUUUUUUUGAAUCGAACUGCUACUGCAGUGUAUACAUAUCUAAGUGAAUUAUUUUCCAUCAACUAACUGAUUUCACUUUUUUAUGUUGAACUUCUACAAAUCUAUGUUUGCUAGCAACUAAAAAAGCCUACAAAGGUGUACACAUUUAUAGCAAAUCCUAUGAGAGGCAUUUUGAUCAUUACCCAUUUUGAUGAUACGUUGUGUCAACAUGUGCAUAGGAAAACCACCGCUGCAUAAUGAGCAAUUGAUCAAUUUCUCCUUUUGCUCACUUCUUUGUCCCUGCCUCAAGCGAAACCAGAUUUGACAUUAGCUAAAAACGAACAUGAACAUAUCAAAACUAGUAGGCGAGUGCACUGAGACAUUUUAGCAAACACAUGGCAUGCACUCAGCAAAAGCUUAUGCGGUGAAGAAGAAAGAAGGGGGGUGGGCGGGGACCUGGAAGCUGCGAUGAGUGAACGGCCUAGGGCGGCCGGGUUGGACUGGUGGUCACACUGGCGGCGAACCCAACGCCCUGGCCACACCGGGAUGACAGGCAACCAGAAGGAGGUAUAGGGCCUGUCCACGGCGGAGACAUUGAACGGCCCAUGGUCGCACGUUGAACUGCCUGCACGCGGUGGGGAAGAAGGACGGACAGCGUGCGCUGGGGAGGGAGGUCGUGGCGGCGGCACACUAGGGGAGGGGGUGUGGUGGCGGCGCGCUGGGCCAAGGGCGGAUGGCAUCGCGCUGGGGCAGGGCCGGUCGACGGCGCGCUGGGAAGGGACCGGUCGGCGGCGCGCUGGGCCAAGGGCGGACNNNNNNNNNNNNNNNNNNNNNNNNNNNNNNNNNNNNNNNNNNNNNNNNNNNNNNNNNNNNNNNNNNNNNNNNNNNNNNNNNNNNNNNNNNNNNNNNNNNNNNNNNNNNNNNNNNNNNNNNNNNNNNNNNNNNNNNNNNNNNNNNNNNNNNNNNNNNNNNNNNNNNNNNNNNNNNNNNNNNNNNNNNNNNNNNNNNNNNNNNNNNNNNNNNNNNNNNNNNNNNNNNNNNNNNNNNNNNNNNNNNNNNNNNNNNNNNNNNNNNNNNNNNNNNNNNNNNNNNNNNNNNNNNNNNNNNNNNNNNNNNNNNNNNNNNNNNNNNNNNNNNNNNNNNNNNNNNNNNNNNNNNNNNNNNNNNNNNNNNNNNNNNNNNNNNNNNNNNNNNNNNNNNNNNNNNNNNNNNNNNNNNNNNNNNNNNNNNNNNNNNNNNNNNNNNNNNNNNNNNNNNNNNNNNNNNNNNNNNNNNNNNNNNNNNNNNNNNNNNNNNNNNNNNNNNNNNNNNNNNNNNNNNNNNNNNNNNNNNNNNNNNNNNNNNNNNNNNNNNNNNNNNNNNNNNNNNNNNNNNNNNNNNNNNNNNNNNNNNNNNNNNNNNNNNNNNNNNNNNNNNNNNNNAUUAUUUUCAAUAUACUUCAUUAAAUAUUCUAAGAUACCCCAAUAUGAGUUUAGUUGAAAAAAUAUCAUCUGCGGCGUACUUUUUAUAAUAUACCUUUUUCACGUACAAACACAUCAGUAUAUACGUAAACAUUUAAAAAUAUGUAGACUCACAUGAAUUUUUUUAUGGAACUCAUUUUGGGGUAUCUAAUAAUUACUAAUGAAGUAUAUUAAAAAUAAUAAAGUGGUAUAAAAGAUUUAUCUAUGUGGUAUAUGAGAAGCGAAAAUACGUACUCCCAGGAGUACAUAACCAUUUUCAUAUAUAUAUAUAUAUAUAUAUAUAUAGUGUUAUUAUUCAACACACAGGGUGUAGAAUAAAUUAUUUUUCACCCGAGGUAAUAUUACGAUCGCUUCCUAAAUAAAUUACUUUUACAAUAUAAAUAGUUACAUGCAUAUUGAUUCAAUAUGUAAAAUUUGAUAUAAAAAAGGUUAUAAGAUCAGAAAAAUCACAUUUUAUGUACGUUUUACACUAUGUUCUUACAUUCGUAAUUUUACGUAACAUAAAAUAUUUUUUACGACGAAUACAUAUUUUCUUACGUUCUCUUUUUAGUAUAAAAUAACACAAAAUUUACGAAACGUAAAAAUAAGUUGCAUUGAUGUCAAAAUUGAAAGGGAGUGAAAAAUAACUAUUCCUCACCCAGGGUGACAAAUAGCGCGACCCGACACUAAUUAGCCCGAACCAUCCCUGUUAUGCGUGCCUCUAUGACCGCAUGUGGAAAAUCCUCGUAAAAACGACAAUGAAAGAUAGUAAUGAAUUACGUCAACACUCCGUGGGACAAUAAAUCUAGCUAUAGAAAAAUUCCUCGUAAAAUCUAAUGGAAUGUAGUAAUGGAUUACCAUCUCCAUUGUGGGAUGAUUAAUUUAGCUAUCCAUGAUUUCGAAACAUUUACAUAGUAAUACAUCCAUGCAAUGCAGUAACGGAGUUGCUAACAAACAUAGUAACGAUUACUAGAUUGCCAUAAAUAUUACGGUAUAACCAAAUGCUCCCAUUACUUGGUCGAAGUCUCCUACAUUAAAAAUUACUGUAAAGUACACAUUGUGUUACUACAAUUAGGGCUGUAAGCACUAUACUAGUAGAUGGUAAUUGCAUUACCAAUAUAAUAUAAACCAAUUAAUUGGAGAACCACUAAGAUAUGCUUACUUUCCAUGCAUUGACUAUAAGCCACAUGAUUUUUAACAUUACCACAUGUUCACUUUAUUUUACAAUUCUUAACAACCAUGACCAUUAGAUUUCUCACAUGUACUAAUUUAUUACUAGAUUUCAGCAUGUUUUUACUAGUUUUACCGGGUGACAGAUUGAACCAUCACUAAUUUUUGGCUUGAUAAAACAUUUUCUUUCAUUACCAUCUACUGCAUCCUUUUACUGCCAAUAAUUAGUGAGCAAGGCACAUGGAUAAAAAAACGAUUUACUACAUGAGCAAGGCACGUGUAGUAAAUCUUUUUUUACUAGACAAUGGAUCAGACCACCCGUAAUAUAUUGCUUGGUAAAGUAUUUCAUCCAUUACCAUCUAUUCUAUAUUUUUUACUAUCAUUAAUUAGUGAGUUUAGAAGCAGGCGCGUACGGGGCCGUGGUAGGAUGGUAACCAAAUUAAAGCCAUUAUGAUUUUCUUUAACCGAUUUUACCUUCAGUUAAUUAGUGGAGGGGCAGCCUAUUUGUUGGGGAACGUAGUAAUUUCAAAAAAUUUCCUACGCACAUGCAAGAUCAUGGUGAUGAUAUAGCAACGAGGGGAGAGUGUUGUCUACGUACCCUCGUAGACCGAAGCGGAAGCGUUGACGCAACGUAGAGGAAGUAGUCGUACGUCCUCCGGUUCAACCGAUCCAAGUACCGUUACUCCGGCACCUCCGAGUUCUUGACACGCGUACAGCUCGAUGACGCACCCUCGAUCUCCGAUCCAGCAGAGGCGCCGAGGGGGAGUUCUGUCAGCACGACGGCGUGGUGACGAUCUUGAUGUUCUCCUGUUGCAGGGCUUCGCCUAAGCACCGCUACAAUAUGACCGAGGUGUAAUAUCGUGGAGGGGGGCACCGCACACGGCUAAGGAACGAUCAAUGAUCAACUUGUGUGUUCUAGGGUGCCCCCUUACCCCCGUAUAUAAAGGAGGGAGGGAGGAGGUGGCCGGCCCUAGGGGGAGCGCGCCAUGAGGAGGGGGAAACCUACUCCAAGUAGGUUUCCCUCUCUUUUCCUUAUCUUAUUUGGAGGGGGAAGGAAAGAGUACUAGUAUUAGGAAGUAGUACUAGUAGUAGUAAUAGGAAGAGGGGGAAGGAGAAAGGAAAGGGGGGGCCGGCCCCCCUCCCCAAUUCGGAUUGGGCUUGGGGGGGCGCGCCCCCUCCCUUGCUCCUUCUCUCUUCUUCCUACAUGGGCCCAAUAAGGCCCAUAUACCUCCCGGGGGGUUCCGGUAACCUCCCGGGGCUCCAAACUUCUCCGGAACCUUUCCGGUGUCCAAAUAUAUCCGUCCAAUAUAUCAAUCUUUAUGUCUCGACCAUUUCGAGACUCCUCGUCAUGUCCGCAAUCAUAUCCGGGACUCCAAACAACCUUCGGUACAUCAAAAUACAUAAACUCAUAAUAUAACUGUCAUCGAAACCUUAAGCGUGCGGACCCUAUGGUUCGAGAACGAUGUAGACAUGACUGAGACACAUCUCUGGUCAAUAACCAAUAGCGGGACCUGGAUGCCGAUAUUGGUUCCUACAUAUUCUACGAAGAUCUUUAUCGGUCAAACCGCAUAACAACAUACGUUGUUCCCUUUGUCAUCGGUAUGUUACUUGUCCGAGAUUCAAUCGUCGGUAUCCAAUACCUAGUUCAAUCUCGUUAUCGACAAGUCUCUUUACUCGUUCUGUAAUACUUCAUCUUAUAACUAACUCAUUAGUUACAUGCUUGCAAGGCUUAGGUGAUGAGCAUUGCCGAGAGGGCCCAGAGAUACCUCUCCGACAAUCGGAGUGACAAAACCUAAUCUCGAAUUAUGCUAACUCAACAUGUACCUUCGGAGACACCUGUAGUACUCCUUUAUAAUCACCCAGUUACGUUGUGACGUUUGGUAGUACCCAAAGUGUUCCUCCGGCAAACGGGAGUUACACAAUUCUCAUAGUUACAGGAACAUGUAUAAGUCAUGAAGGAAGCAAUAGCAGAAUACUAAACGAUCAAGUGCUAAGCUAACGGGAUGGGUCAUGUCAAUCACCUCAUUCUCCUAAUGAUGUGAUCCCAUUAAUCAAAUGACAACACAUGUCAAUGGUUAGGAAACAUAACCAUCUUUGAUUAAUGAGCUAGUCAAGUAGAGGCAUACUAGUGACUAUAUGUUUGUCUAUGUAUUCACACAUGUAUCAUGUUUCCGGUUAAUACAAUUCUAGCAUGAAUAAUAAACAUUUAUCAUGAAAUGAGGAAAUAAAUAAUAACUUUAUUAUUGCCUCUAGGGCAUAUUUCCUUCAGUCUCCCACUUGCACUAGAGUCAAUAAUCUAGAUUACAUAGUAAUGAUUCUAACACCCAUGGAGUCUUGGUGCUGAUCAUGUUUUGAUCGUGAGAGAGGCUUAGUCAACGGGUCUGCAACAUUCAGAUCCGUAUGUAUCUUGCAAAUCUCUAUGUCUCCCACUUGGACUUGAUCCCGAAUGGAAUUGAAGCGUCUCUUGAUGUGCUUGGUCCUCUUGUGAAAUGUGGAUUCCUUUGCCAAGGCAAUUGCACCAGUAUUGUCACAGAAGAUCUUCAUUGGUCCCGAUGCACUAGGUAUGACACCUAGAUCGGAAAUGAACUCCUUCAUCCAGACUCCUUCAUUUGCUGCUUCAGAAGCAGCUAUGUACUCCGCUUCACAUGUAGAUCCCGCCACGACGCUUUGUUUAGAACUGCACCAACUUACAGCUCCACCGUUUAAUAAAAACACGUAUCCGGUCUGCGAUUUAGAAUCGUCCGGAUCAGUGUCAAAGCUUGCAUCGACGUAACCAUUUACGACUAGCUCUUUGUCACCUCCAUAUACGAGAAACAUAUCCUUAGUCCUUUUCAGGUAUUUCAGGAUGUUCUUGACCGCUGUCCAGUGAUCCACUCCUGGAUUACUUUGGUACCUACCUGCCAAGCUUAUUGCUAAGCAUACGUCAGGUCUGGUACACAGCAUUGCAUACAUGAUAGAGCCUAUGGCUGAAGCAUAGGGAACAUCUUUCAUUUUCUCUCUAUCUUCUGCUGUGGUCGGGCAUUGAGUUUGACUCAACUUUACACCUUGUAGCACAGGCAAGAAUCCUUUCUUUGCCUGAUCCAUUUUGAACUUUUUCAAAAAAUUUGUCAAGGUAUGUACUUUGUGAAAGUCCUAUUAAGCGUCUUGAUCUAUCUCUAUAGAUCUUGAUGCCCAAUAUGUAAGCAGCUUCACCGAGGUCUUUCAUAGAAAAACUUUUAUUCAAGUAUCCCUUUAUGCUAUCCAGAAAUUCUAUAUCAUUUCCAAUUAAUAAUAUGUCAUCAACAUAUAAAACUAGAAAUGCUACAGAGCUCCCACUCACUUUCUUGUAAAUACAGGCUUCUCCAAAAUUCUGUAUAAAACCAUAUGCUUUGAUCACACUAUCAAAACGUUUAUUCCAACUCCGAGAUGCUUGCACCAGUCCAUAAAUGGAACGUUGGAGCUUGCACACUUUGUUAGCACUUUUUGGAUCAACGAAACCUUCAGGUUGCAUCAUAUACAACUCUUCUUCUAGAAAUCCAUUCAAGAAUGCAGUCUUGACAUCCAUUUGCCAAAUUUCAUAAUCAUGAAAUGCAGCAAUAGCCAACAUGAUUCGGACAGACUUAAGCAUCGCUACGGGUGAGAAAGUCUCAUCGUAGUCAACCCCUUGAACUUGUCGAAAACCUUUUGCAACAAGUCGAGCUUUGUAGACAGUAACAUUACCAUCAGCGUCAGUCUUCUUCUUAAAGAUCCAUUUAUUCUCAAUGGCUUGCCGAUCAUCGGGCAAGUCAACCAAAGUCCAUACUUUUGUUUUCAUACAUGGAUCCUAUCUCAGAUUUCAUGGCCUCUAGCCAUUUUGCGGAAUCUGGGCUCAUCAUCGCUUCCUCAUAGUUCGUAGGUUCAUCAUGGUCUAGUAACAUGACUUCCAGAAUAGGAUUUCCAUACCACUAUGGUGCGGAUCUUACUCUGGUAGACCUACGAGGUUCAGUAAAAACUUGAUCUGAAGUUUCAUGAUCAAUAUCAUUAGCUUCCUCACUAAUUGGUGUAGUUGUCACAGGAACCGGUUCUUGUGAUGAACUACUUUCCAAUAAGGGAGUAGAUACAGUUAUCUCAUCAAGUUCUACUUUCCUCCCACUCACUUCUUUCGAGAGAAACUCCUUCUCUAGAAAGGAUCCGAUUUUAGCAACGAAAAUCUUGCCUUCAGAUCUGUGAUAGAAGGUGUACCCAAUUGUCUCCUUUGGGUAUCCUAUGAAGACACAUUUCUCCGAUUUGGGUUCGAGCUUAUCUGGUUGAAGUUUCUUCACAUAAGCAUCGCAGCCCCAAACUUUGAGAAACGACAACUUUUGUUUCUUGCCAAACCACAGUUCAUAAGGCGUCGUCUCAACGGAUUUUGAUGGUGCCCUAUUUAACGUGAAUGCGGCCGUCUCUAAAGCAUAACCCCAAAACGAUAGCGGUAAAUCGGUAAGAGACAUCAUAGAUCGCACCAUAUCAAGUAAAGUACGAUUACGACGUUCGGACACACCAUUUCGCUGUGGCGUUCCAGGUGGCGUGAGUUGCGAAACUAUUCCACAUUGUUUCAAAUGUAAACCAAACUCGUAACUCAAAUAUUCUCCUCCACGAUCAGAUCGUAGAAACUUUAUUUUCUUGUUACGAUGAUUUUCUACUUCACUCUGAAAUUCUUUGAACUUUUCAAAUGUUUCAGACUUGUGCUUCAUCAAGUAGAUAUACCCAUAUCUGCUCAAAUCAUCUAUGAAGGUGAGGAAAUAACGAUAUCCGCCACGAGCCUCAACAUUCAUCGGACCACAUACAUCUGUAUGUAUGAUUUCCAACAAAUCUGUUGCUCUCUCCAUGUUGGGUUUCGUAGUAAUUUCAAAAAAUUUCCUACGCGCACACAGGAUCAUGUGAUGCAUAGCAACGAGAGGAGAGUGUUGUCUACGUACCCAACGCAGACCGACUGCGGAAGCGAUGACACGACGUAGAGGAAGUAGUCGUAUGUCUUCACGAUCCAACCGAUCAAGCACCGAAACUACGGCACCUCCGAGUUCGAGCACACGUUCAGCUCGAUGACGAUCCCCGGACUCCGAUCCAGCAAAGUGUCGGGGAAGAGUUUCGUCAGCACGACGGCGUGGUGACGAUCUUGAUGAACUACAGCAGCAGGGCUUCGCCUAAACUCCGCUACAGUAUUAUCGAGGAAUAUGGUGGCAGGGGGCACCGCACACGGCUAAGGAAUCGAUCACGUGGAUCAACUUGUGUCAACUUGUGUGUUUAGAGGUGCCCCUGCCUCAGUAUAUAAAGGAGGAGAGGAGGGGAGGCUGGCCGACCAAAGAGGGAGGCGCAGGAGAGUCCUACUCCCUCUGGGAGUAGGAUUCCUCCCCCCAAUCCUAGUCCAACUAGGAUUCCUCGGAGGGGAAGGGAGAGAGGGGGGCCGGCCAUCUUCUCCUAGUCCUAAUAGGACUAGGGGAGGGGGAAGAGGCGCAGCCACCUUGGGCUGCCCCUUUCUCCUUUCCACUAAGGCCCAUGAAGGCCCAUAUGGCUCCCGGGGGGUUCCGGUAACCUCCCGGUAACCCGGUAAAAUCCCAAUUUCACCCGGAACACUUCCGAUGUCCAAACAUAGGCUUCCAAUAUAUCAAUCUUUACGUCUCGACCAUUUCGAGACUCCUCGUCAUGUCCGUGAUCAUAUCCGGGACUCCGAACAACCUUCGGUACAUCAAAAUGCAUAAACUCAUAAUAUAACUGUCAUCGUAACCUUAAGCGUGCGGACCCUACGGGUUCGAGAACAAUGUAGACAUGACCGAGACAUGUCUCUGGUCAAUAACCAAUAGCGGGACCUGGAUGCCCAUAUUGGCUCCUACAUAUUCUACGAAGAUCUUUAUCGGUCAGACCGCAUAACAACAUACGUUGUUCCCUUUGUCAUCGGUAUGUUACUUGCCCGAGAUUCGAUCGUCGGUAUCCAAUACCUAGUUCAAUCUCGUUACUGGCAAGUCUCUUUACUCGUUCCGUAAUACAUCAUCUCACAACUAACAUAUUAGUUGUAAUGCUUGCAAGGCUUAUGUGAUGUGUAUUACCGAGAGGGCCCAGAGAUACCUCUCCGACAAUCGGAGUGACAAAUCCUAAUAUCGAAAUACGCCAACCCAACAUCGACCAUUGGAGACACCUGUAGUACUCCUUUAUAAUCACCCAGUUACGUUGUGACGUUUGGUAGUACCCAAAGUGUUCCUCCGGUAAACGGGAGUUGCAUAAUCUCAUAGUCAUAGGAACAUGUAUAAGUCAUGAAGAAAGCAAUAGCAACAUACUAAACGAUCGGGUGCUAAGCUAAUGGAAUGGGUCAUGUCAAUCAGAUCAUUCUACUAAUGAUGUGACCUCGUUAAUCAAAUAACAACUCAUUGUUCAUGGUUAGGAAACAUAACCAUCUUUGAUUAACGAGCUAGUCAAGUAGAGGCAUACUAGUGACACUUUUGUUUGUCUAUGUAUUCACACAUGUAUUAUGUUUCCGGUAAAUACAAUUCUAGCAUGAAUAAUAAACAUUUAUCAUGAUUAUGAGGAAAUAAAUAAUAACUUUAUUAUUGCCUCUAGGGCAUAUUUCCUUCACAAACAUAGGCUUCCAAUAUAUCAAUCUUUACGUCUCGACCAUUUCGAGACUCCUCGUCAUGUCCGUGAUCACAUCUGGGACUCCGAACAACCUUCGGUACAUCAAAAUGCAUAAACUCAUAAUGUAACUGUCAUCGUAACCUUAAGCGUGCGGACCCUACGGGUUCGAGAACAAUGUAGACAUGACCGAGACAUGUCUCUGGUCAAUAACCAAUAGCGGGACCUGGAUGCCCAUAUUGGCUCCUACAUAUUCUACGAAGAUCUUUAUCGGUCAGACCGCAUAACAACAUACGUUGUUCCCUUUGUCAUCGGUAUGUUACUUGCCCGAGAUUCGAUCGUCGGUAUCCAAUACCUAGUUCAAUCUCGUUACCGGCAAGUCUCUUUACUCGUUCCGUAAUACAUCAUCUCACAACUAACAUAUUAGUUGUAAUGCUUGCAAGGCUUAUGUUAUGUGUAUUACCGAGAGGGCCCAGAGAUACCUCUCCGACAAUCGGAGUGACAAAUCCUAAUCUCGAAAUACGCCAACCCAACAUCGACCAUUGGAGACACCUGUAGUACUCCUUUAUAAUCACCCAUUUACGUUGUGACGUUUGGUAGUACCCAAAGUGUUCCUCCGGUAAACGGGAGUUGCAUAAUCUCAUAGUCAUAGGAACAUGUAUAAGUCAUGAAGAAAGCAAUAGCAACAUACUAAACGAUCAGGUGCUAAGCUAAUGGAAUGGGUCAUGUCAAUCAGAUCAUUCUACUAAUGAUGUGACCUCGUUAAUCAAAUAACAACUCAUUGUUCAUGGUUAGGAAACAUAACCAUCUUUGAUUAACGAGCUAGUCAAGUAGAGGCAUACUAGUGACACUCUGUUUGUCUAUGUAUUCACACAUGUAUUAUGUUUCCGGAAAAUACAAUUCUAGCAUGAAUAAUAAACACUUAUCAUGAUUAUAAGGAAAUAAAUAAUAACUUUAUUAUUGUCUCUAGGGCAUAUUUCCUUCAGUCUCCCACUUGCACUAGAGUCAAUAAUCUAGUUCACAUCGCCAUGUGAUUUAACAGCAAUAGUUCACAUCACCAUGUGAUUAACACCCAUAGUUCACAUCGCUAUGUGACCAACACCCAAAGGGUUUACUAGAUUCAGUAAUCUAGUUCACAUCGCUAUGUGAUUAACACCCAAGGAGUACUAAGGUGUGAUCAUGUUUUGCUUGUGAGAGAAUCUUAGUCAACGGGUAUGUCAUAUACAGAUCCGUAAGUAUUUUGCGAAUUCUAUGUCUACAAUGCUCUGCACGGAGCUACUCUAGCUAAUUGCUCCCACUUUCAAUAUGUAUCUAGAUCAAGACUUAGAGUCAUCUAGAUUAGUUUCAAACUUGCAUCGGCGUAACCUUUUACGACGAACCUUUUUCCAUAAUCGAGAAACAUAUCCUUAUUCCACUAAGGACAAUUUUGACCGCUCUCCAGUGAUCUACUCCUAGAUCACUAUUGUACUCCCUUGCCAAACUUAGUGGUAUGGCAUACAAUAGAUCUGGUAUACAGCAUGGCAUACUUUAUAGAACCUAUGACUGAGGCAUAGGGAAUGACUUUCAUUCUCUUUCUAUUUUCUGCCGUGGUCGGGCUUUGAGUCUUACUCAACUUAACACCUUGCAACACAGGCAAGAACUCCUUCUUUGACUGUUCCAUUUUGAACUAUUUCAAAAAUUUAUCAAGGUAUGUAUUCAUUGAAAAAAUCUUAUCAAGCGUCUUCAUCUAUCUAUAUAGAUCUUGAUGCUCAAUGUGUAAGCAGCUUCACCAAGGUCUUUCUUUGAAAAACUCCUUUCAAACACUCCUUUAUGCUUUACAGAAUAAUUCUACAUUAUUUCCGAUCAACAAUAUGUCAUUCACAUAUACUUUAUCAGAGAUGCUGUAGUGCUCCCACUCACUUUCUUGUAAAUACAGGCUUCACCGCAAGUCUGUAUAAAACUAUAUGCUUUGAUCAACUCAUCAAAGCGUAUAUUCCAACUCCGAGAUUCUUGCACCAGUCCAUAGAUGGAUCACUGGAGCUUGCACAUUUUGUUAGUACCUUUCGGAUUGACAAAACCUUCUGUUGCAUCAUAUACAACUCUUCUUUAAUAAAUCCAUUAAGGAAUGCAGUUUUGUUUAUCCAUUUGCCAGAUUUCAUAAAAUGUGACAAUUACUAACAUGAUUCAGACAGACUCAAGCAUAGAUACGAGUGAGAAGCUCUCAUCGUAGUCAACACCUUGAACUUGUCGAAAAACCUUUUGCAACAAGUCGAGCUUGGUAGAUAGUAAUACUACUAUCAGUGUCCGUCUUCCUCUUGAAGAUCCAUUUAUUCUUAAUGACUCACCGAUCAUCGGGCAAGUCAAUCAAAGUCUAUACUUUGUUCUCAUACAUGGAUCAUAUCUCAGAUUUCAUGGCCUCAAGCCAUUUCGUGGAAUCUGGGCUCAUCAUUGCUUCCUCAUAGUUCGUAGGUUCAUCAUGAUCUAGUAGCAUGACCUCCAGAACAGGAUUACCGUACCACUCUGGUGCGGAUCUUACUCUGGUUGAUCUACGAAGUUCAGUAGUAUCUUGAUCUGAAGUUUCAUGAUCAUUAUCAUUGGCUUCCUCACUAACUGGUGUAGGUGUCACUGAAACAGUUUUCUGUGAUGAACUACUUUCCAGUAAGGGAGCAGGUACAGUUACCUCGUCAAGUUCUACUUUCCUCCCACUCACUUCUUUCGAGAGAAACUCCUUCUCUAGAAAUGAUCCAUUCUUAGCAACAAAUGUUUUGCCUUCGGAUCUGUGAUAGAAGGUGUACCCAAUUGUCUCAUUUGGGUAUCCUAUGAAAACGCACUUCUCCGAUUUGAGUUUGAGCUUAUCAGGAUGAAACUUUUUCAUAUAAGCAUCGCAACCCCAAAUUUAAGAAACGACAGCUUAGGUUUCUUGCCAAACCAUAGUUCAUACGGUGUCGUCUCAACGGAUUUAGAUGGUGCCCUUUUAACGUGAAUGCAGCUGUCUCUAAUGCAUAACCCCAAAACGAUAGUGGUAAAGAGAUAUCAUAGAUCGCACCAUAUCAAAUAAAGUGCGGUUACGACGUUCGGACACACCAUAACAAUGUGGUGUUCCAGGUGGCGUGAGCUGUGAAACUAUUCCACAUUAUUUUAAUUGAAGACCAAACUCAUAACUCAAAUAUUUGUCUCCGCGAUCAGAUCGCAGAAACUUUAUUUUCUUGUUACGAUGAUUUUUCCACUUCACUCUGAAAUUCUUUGAACCUUUCAACUAUUUCAGACUUAUGUUUCAUCAAGUAGAUAUACCCAUAUCUGCUCAAAUCAUCUUGUGAAGGUCAGAAAACAACGAUGCUUGCCACGAGCAUCAGCACUCAUUGGAUUGCAUACAUCGGUAUGUAUUAUUUCCAAUAAGUCAGUAGCUCGUUCCAUUGUUCCGGAGAACGGAGUUUUAGUCAUCUUGCCCAAAAAGGCACAGUUCGCAAGCAUCAAAUGAUUCAUAACCAAGUGAUUCCGAAAAUCCAUCUUUAUGGAGUUUCUUCAUGCGCUUUACACCGAUAUGACCCAAACGGCAGUGCCAUAAAUAAGUUGCACUAUCAUUAUUAACUUUGCAUCUUUUGACAUCAAUAUUAUGAAUAUGUGUAUCACUACGAUCGAGAUCCAAUGAACCAUUUUCAUUGGGUGUGUAACCAUAUAAGGUUUUAUUCAUGUAAAUAGAACAACAGUUUAUUCUCUUACUUAAAUGAAUAACCGUAUUGCAAUAAAUAUGAUCAAAUCAUAUUCAUGCUCAACGCAAACACCAAAUAACACUUAUUUAGGUUCAACACUAAUCCCGAAAGUAUAGGGAGUGUGUGACGAUGAUCAUAUCAAUCUUGGAACCACUUCCAACACACAUCGUCACUUCACCCUUAACUAGUCUCUGUUUAUUCUGCAACUCCCGUUUCGAGUUACUAAUCUUAGCAACUGAACUAGUAUCAAAUACUGAGGGUUUGCGAUAAACACUAGUAAAGUACACAUCAAUAACAUGUAUAUCAAAUAUACUUAUGUUCACUUUGCCAUCCUUCUUAUCCGCCAAUCACUUGGGGUAGAUCCGCUUCCAGUGACCAGUCCCUUUGCAGUAGAAACACUUAGUCUCAGGCUUAGGAUCAGACUUGGGCUUCUUCACUUGAGCAGCAACUUGCUUGCUGUUCUUCUUGAAGUUCCCCUUCUUCCUUCUGCCCCUUUUCUUGAAACUAGUGGUCUUGUCUACCAUCAACACUUGAUGUUUUUCUCGAUUUCUACCUUCGUCAAUUUCCGCAUUACGAAGAGCUUGGGAAUCGUUUCCGUUAUCCCUUGCAUGUCAUAGUUCAUCACGAAGUUCUACUAACUUGGUGAUGGUGACUAGAGAAUUCUGUCAAUCACUAUCUUAUCUGGAAGAUUAACUCCCAUUUGAUUCAAGCGAUUGUAGUAUUCAGACAAUCUGAGCACAUGCUCACUAGUUGAGCGAUUCUCCUCCAUCUUUUAGCUAUAGAACUUGUUGGAGACUUCAUAUCUCUCAACUCGGGUAUUUGCUUGAAAUAUUAACUUCAAUUCCUGGAACAUCUCAUAUGGUCCAUGACGUUCAAAACGUCUUUGAAGUCCCGAUUCUAAGCCGUUAAGCAUGGUGCACUAAACUAUCAAGUAGUCAUCAUAUUGAGCUAGCCAGACGUUCAUAACUUCUGCAUCUGCUCCUGCAAUAGGUCCGUCACCUAGCGGUGCAUUAAGGACAUAAUUCUUCUGUGCAGCAAUGAGGAUUUAACCUCAGAUCACGGAUCAAAUCCGCAACAUUGCUACUAACAUUUUUCAACACAAUUUUCUCUAGGAACAUAUCAAAAUAAACACAGGGAAGCAACAACGCGAGCUAUUGAUCUACAACAUGAUUUGCAAAAUACUACCAGGACUAAGUUCAUGAUAAAUUUAAGUUCAAUUUAAUCAUAUUACUUAAGAACUCCCACUUAGAUAGACAUCCCUCUAAUCCUCUAAGUGAUCACGUGAUCCAAAUCAACUAAACCAUGUCCGAUCAUCACGUGAGAUGGAGUAGUUUCAUUGGUGAACAUCACUAUGUUGAUCAUAUCUACUAUAUGAUUCACGCUUGACCUUUCGGUCUCCGUGUUCCGAGGCCAUAUCUGUAUAUGCUUGGCUCGUCAAGUAUAACCUGAGUAUUCCGCGUGUGCAACUGUUUUGCACCCGUUGUAUUUGAACGUAGAGCCUAUCACACCCGAUCAUCACGUGGUGUCUCAGCACGAAGAACUUUCGCAAUGGUGCAUACUCAGGGAGAACACUUCUUGAUAAUUAGUGAGAGAUCAUCUUAAAAUGCUACCGUCAAUCAAAGCAAGAUAAGAUGCAUAAAGGAUAAACAUCACAUGCAAUCAAUAUAAGUGAUAUGAUAUGGCCAUCAUCAUCUUGUGCUUGUGAUCUCCAUCUUCAAAGCACCGUCGUGAUCACCAUCGUCACCGGCGCGACACCUUGAUCUCCAUCAUAGCAUCGUUGUCGUUACGCCAUCUAUUGCUUCUAUGACUAUCGCUACCGCUUAGUGAUAAAGUAAAGCAAUUACAGGGCGUUUGCAUUUCAUACAAUAAAGCGACAACCAUAUGGCUCCUGCCAGUUGCCGAUAACUUCGGUUACAAAACAUGAUCAUCUCAUACAAUAAAAUAUAGCAUCAUGUCUUGGCCAUAUCACAUCACAACAUGCCCUGCAAAAACAAGUUAGACGUCCUCUACUUUGUUGUUGCAAAUUUUACGUGGCUGCUACGGGCUUAAGCAAGAACCAAUCUCACCUACGCAUCAAAACCACAACGAUAGUUUGUCAAAUAGACUCCGUUUUAACCUUCACAAGGACCGGGCGUAGCCACACUCGGUUCAACUAAAGUGAGAGAGACAGACACCCGCCAGCCACCUUUAAGCACGAGUGCUCGUAACGGUGAAACCAGUCUCGCGUAAGCGUACGCGUAAUGUCGGUUCGGGCCGCUUCAUCUCACAAUACCGCUGAACCAAAGUAUGACAUGCUGGUAGGCAGUAUGACUUAUAUCGUCCACAACUCACUUGUGUUCUACUCGUGCAUAUAACAUCAACGCAUAAAACCUAGGCUCGGAUGCCACUGUUGGGGAACGUAGUAAUUUCAAAAUUUUCCUACGCACACGCAAGAUCAUGGUGAUGAUAUAGCAACGAGGGGAGAGUGUUGUCUACGUACCCUCGUAGACCGAAGCAGAAGCGUUGACGCAACGUAGAGGAAGUAGUCGUACGUCCUCCGGUUCAACCGAUCCAAGUACCGUUACUCCGGCACCUCCGAGUUCUUGACACGCGUACAGCUCGAUGACGCACCCUCGAUCUCCGAUCCAGCAGAGGCGCCGAGGGGGAGUUCCGUCAGCACGACGGCGUGGUGACGAUCUUGAUGUUCUCCUGUUGCAGGGCUUCGCCUAAGCACCGCUACAAUAUGACCGAGGUGUAAUAUCGUGGAGGGGGGCACCGCACACGGCUAAGGAACGAUCAAUGAUCAACUUGUGUGUUCUAGGGUGCCCCCCUACCCCCGUAUAUAAAGGAGGGAGGGAGGAGGUGGCCGGCCCUAGGGGGGCGCGCCAUGAGGAGGGGGAAACCUACUCCAAGUAGGUUUCCCUCUCUUUUCCUUAUCUUAUUUGGAGGGGGGAGGAAAGAGUACUAGUAUUAGGAAGUAGUACUAGUAGUAGUAAUAGGAAGAGGGGGAAGGAGAAAGGAAAGGGGGGGCCGGCCCCCCUCUCCAAUUCGGAUUGGGCUUGGGGGGGCGCGCCCCCCUCCCUUGUUCCUUCUCUCUUCCUCCUACAUGGGCCCAAUAAGGCCCAUAUACCUCCCGGGGGGUUCCGGUAACCUCCCGGGGCUCCAAACUUCUCCGGAACCUUUCCGGUGUCCAAAUAUAUCCGUCCAAUAUAUCAAUCUUUAUGUCUCGACCAUUUCGAGACUCCUCGUCAUGUCCGUAAUCAUAUCCGGGACUCCGAACAACCUUCGGUACAUCAAAAUACAUAAACUCAUAAUAUAACUGUCAUCGAAACCUUAAGCGUGCGGACCCUACGGUUCGAGAACGAUGUAGACAUGACUGAGACACAUCUCUGGUCAAUAACCAAUAGCGGGACCUGGAUGCCCAUAUUGGUUCCUACAUAUUCUACGAAGAUCUUUAUCGGUCAAACCGCAUAACAACAUACGUUGUUCCCUUUGUCAUCGGUAUGUUACUUGUCCGAGAUUCGAUCGUCGGUAUCCAAUACCUAGUUCAAUCUCGUUAUCGACAAGUCUCUUUACUCGUUCUGUAAUACUUCAUCUUAUAACUAACUCAUUAGUUACAUGCUUGCAAGGCUUAGGUGAUUAGCAUUGCCGAGAGGGCCCAGAGAUACCUCUCCAACAAUCGGAGUGACAAAACCUAAUCUCGAAUUAUGCUAACUCAACAUGUACCUUCGGAGACACCUGUAGUACUCCUUUAUAAUCACCCAGUUACGUUGUGACGUUUGGUAGUACCCAAAGUGUUCCUCCGGUAAAUGGGAGUUACACAAUUCUCAUAGUUACAGGAACAUGUAUAAGUCAUGAAGGAAGCAAUAGCAGAAUACUAAACGAUCAAGUGCUAAGCUAACGGGAUGGGUCAUGUCAAUCACCUCAUUCUCCUAAUGAUGUGAUCCCAUUAAUCAAAUGACAACACAUGUCAAUGGUUAGGAAACAUAACCAUCUUUGAUUAAUGAGCUAGUCAAGUAGAGGCAUACUAGUGACUAUAUGUUUGUCUAUGUAUUCACACAUGUAUCAUGUUUCCGGUUAAUACAAUUCUAGCAUGAAUAAUAAACAUUUAUCAUGAAAUGAGGAAAUAAAUAAUAACUUUAUUAUUGCCUCUAGGGCAUAUUUCCUUCAGUCUCCCACUUGCACUAGAGUCAAUAAUCUAGAUUACAUAGUAAUGAUUCUAACACCCAUGGAGUCUUGGUGCUGAUCAUGUUUUGCUCGUGAGAGAGGCUUAGUCAACGGGUCUGCAACAUUCAGAUCCGUAUGUAUCUUGCAAAUCUCUAUGUCCCCCACUUGGACUUGAUCCCGAAUGGAAUUGAAGCGUCUCUGGAUGUGCUUGGUCCUCUUGUGAAAUCUGGAUUCCUUUGCCAAGGCAAUUGCACCAGUAUUGUCACAGAAGAUCUUCAUUGGUCCCGAUGCACUAGGUAUGACACCUAGAUCGGAAAUGAACUCCUUCAUCCAGACUCCUUCAUUUGCUGCUUCAGAAGCAGCUAUGUACUCCGCUUCACAUGUAGAUCCCGCCAUGACGCUUUGUUUAGAACUGCACCAACUUACAGCUCCACCGUUUAAUAAAAACACGUAUCCGGUCUGCGAUUUAGAAUCGUCCGGAUCAGUGUCAAAGCUUGCAUCGACGUAACCAUUUACGACUAGCUCUUUGUCACCUCCAUAUACGAGAAACAUAUCCUUAGUCCUUUUCAGGUAUUUCAGGAUGUUCUUGACCGCUGUCCAGUGAUCCACUCCUGGAUUACUUUGGUACCUACCUGCCAAGCUUAUUGCUAAGCAUACGUCAGGUCUGGUACACAGCAUUGCAUACAUGAUAGAGCCUAUGGCUGAAGCAUAGGGAACAUCUUUCAUUUUCUCUCUAUCUUCUACUGUGGUCGGGCAUUGAGUUUGACUCAACUUCACACCUUGUAGCACAUGCAAGAAUCCUUUCUUUGCCUGAUCCAUUUUGAACUUUUUCAAAAUUUUGUCAAGGUAUGUACUUUGUGAAAGUCCUAUUAAGCGUCUUGAUCUAUCUCUAUAGAUCUUGAUGCCCAAUAUGUAAGCAGCUUCACCGAGGUCUUUCAUAGAAAAACUUUUAUUCAAGUAUCCCUUUAUGCUAUCCAGAAAUUCUAUAUCAUUUCCAAUUAAUAAUAUGUCAUCAACAUAUAAAACUAGAAAUGCUACAGAGCUCCCACUCACUUUCUUGUAAAUACAGGCUUCUCCAAAAGUCUGUAUAAAACCAUAUGCUUUGAUCACACUAUCAAAACGUUUAUUCCAACUCCGAGAUGCUUGCACCAGUCCAUAAAUGGAAUGUUGGAGCUUGCACACUUUGUCAGCACCUUUUGGAUCAACAAAACCUUCAGGUUGCAUCAUAUACAACUCUUCUUCUAGAAAUCCAUUCAAGAAUGCAGUCUUGACAUCCAUUUGCCAAAUUUCAUAAUCAUGAAAUGCAGCAAUAGCCAACAUGAUUCGGACAGACUUAAGCAUCGCUACGGGUGAGAAAGUCUCAUCGUAGUCAACCCCUUGAACUUGUCGAAAACCUUUUGCAACAAGUCGAGCUUUGUAGACAGUAACAUUACCAUCAGCGUCAGUCUUCUUCUUAAAGAUCCAUUUAUUCUCAAUGGCUUGCCGAUCAUCGGGCAAGUCAACCAAAGUCCAUACUUUGUUUUCAUACAUGGAUCCUAUCUCAGAUUUCAUGGCCUCUAGCCAUUUUGUGGAAUCUGGGCUCAUCAUCGCUUCCUCAUAGUUCGUAGGUUCAUCAUGGUCUAGUAACAUGACUUCCAGAAUAGGAUUUCCAUACCACUCUGGUGCGGAUCUUACUCUGGUAGACCUACGAGGUUCAGUAGAAACUUGAUCUGAAGUUUCAUGAUCAAUAUCAUUAGCUUCCUCACUAAUUGGUGUAGUUGUCACAGGAACUGGUUCUUGUGAUGAACUACUUUCCAAUAAGGGAGUAGAUACAGUUAUCUCAUCAAGUUCUACUUUCCUCCCACUCACUUCUUUCGAGAGAAACUCCUUCUCUAGAAAGGAUCCGAUUUUAGCAACGAAAAUCUUGCCUUCAGAUCUGUGAUAGAAGGUGUACCCAAUUGUCUCCUUUGGGUAUCCUAUGAAGAUACAUUUCUCCGAUUUGGGUUCGAGCUUAUCUGGUUGAAGUUUCUUCACAUAAGCAUCGCAGCCCCAAACUUUGAGAAACGACAACUUUGGUUUCUUGCCAAACCACAGUUCAUAAGGCGUCGUCUCAACGGAUUUUGAUGGUGCCCUAUUUAACGUGAAUGCGGCCGUCUCUAAAGCAUAACCCCAAAACGAUAGCGGUAAAUCGGUAAGAGACAUCAUAGAUUGCACCAUAUCAAGUAAAGUACGAUUACGACGUUCGGACACACCAUUUCGCUGUGGUGUUCCAGGUGGCGUGAGUUGCGAAACUAUUCCACAUUGUUUCAAAUGUAAACCAAACUCGUAACUCAAAUAUUCUCCUCCACGAUCAGAUCGUAGAAACUUUAUUUUCUUGUUACGAUGAUUUUCUACUUCACUCUGAAAUUCUUUGAACUUUUCAAAUGUUUCAGACUUGUGCUUCAUCAAGUAGAUAUACCCAUAUCUGCUCAAAUCAUCUGUGAAGGUGAGGAAAUAACGAUAUCCGCCACGAGCCUCAACAUUCAUCGGACCACAUACAUCUGUAUGUAUGAUUUCCAACAAAUCUGUUGCUCUCUCCAUAGAUCCGGAGAACGGUGUUUUGGUCAUCUUGCCCAUGAGGCACGGUUCGCAAGUACCAAGUGAUUCAUAAUCAAGUGAUUCCAGAAGUCCAUCAGUAUGGAGUUUCUUCAUGCGUUUUACACCGAUAUGACCUAAACGGCAGUGCCACAAAUAUGUUGCACUAUCAUUAUCAACUUUGCAUCUUUUGGCUUCAACAUUAUGAAUAUGUGUAUCACUACUAUCGAGAUUUAAUAAAAAUAGACCACUCUUCAAGGGUGCAUGACCAUAAAAGAUAUUACUCAUAUAAAUAGAACAACCAUUAUUCUCUGAUUUAAAUGAAUAACCGUCUCGCAUUAAACAAGAUCCAGAUAUAAUGUUCAUGCUCAACGCAGGCACCAAAUAACAAUUAUUCAGGUCUAAAACUAAUCCUGAUGGUAGAUGUAGAGGUAGCGUGCCGACCGCGAUCACAUCGACUUUGGAACCAUUUCCCACGCGCAUCGUCACCUCGUCCUUAGCUAAUCUUCGCUUAAUCCGUAGUCCCUGUUUCGAGUUGCAAAUGUUAGCAACAGAACCAGUAUCAAAUACCCAGGUGCUACUGCGAGCAUUAGUAAGGUACACAUCAAUAACAUGUAUAUCACAUAUACCUUUGUUCACUUUGCCAUCCUUCUUAUCCGCCAAAUACUUGGGGCAGUUCCGCUUCCAGUGUCCAGUCUGCUUGCAGUAGAAGCACUCAGUUUCAGGCUUAGGUCCAGACUUGGGUUUCUUCACUUGAGCAGCAACUUGUUUGCCGUUCCUUUUGAAGUUCCCCUUCUUCUUCCCUUUGCCCCUUUUCUUGAAACCAGUCGUCUUGUUGACCAUCAACACUUGAUGCUCCUUUUUGAUUUCUACCUCCGCGGCUUUCAGCAUCGCGAAGAGCUCGGGAAUAGUCUUGUUCAUCCCUUGCAUAUUAUAGUUCAUCACAAAGCUCUUGUAGCUUGGUGGCAGUGAUUGGAGAAUUUUGUCAAUGACGCUAUCAUCCGGAAGAUUAACUCCCAGUUGAAUCAAGUGAUUAUUAUACCCAGACAUUUUGAGUAUAUGCUCAUUGACAGAACUGUUCUCCUCCAUCUUGCAGCUGCAGAACUUAUUGGAGACUUCAUAUCUCUCAAUCCGGGCAUUUGCUUGAAAUAUUAACUUCAACUCCUGGAACAUCUCAUAUGCCCCAUGACGUUCAAAACGUCGUUGAAGACCCGGUUCUAAGCUGUAAAGCAUGGCACACUGAACUAUAGAGUAGUCAUCAGCUUUGCUCUGCCAGACGUUCUUAACGUCGUCAGUUGCAUCAAAAGCAGGCCUGGCACCUAGCGGUGCUUCCAGGACGUAACUCUUCUGUGCAGCAAUGAGGAUAAUCCUCAGGUUACGGACCCAGUCCGUGUAAUUGCUACCAUCAUCUUUCAACUUUGCUUUCUCAAGGAACGCAUUAAAAUUCAACGGAACAACAGCACGAGCCAUCUAUCUACAAACAAACAUAGACAAGCAAAAUACUAUCAGGUACUAAGUUCAUGAUAAAUUUAAGUUCAAUUAAUCAUAUUACUAAAGAACUCCCACUUAGACAGACAUCUCUCUAGUCAUCUAAGUGAUUACGUGAUCCAAAUCAACUAAACCAUGUCCGAUCAUCACGUGAGAUGGAGUAGUUUCAAUGGUGAACAUCUCUAUGUUGAUCAUAUCUACUAUAUGAUUCACGCUCGACCUUUCGGUCCCCGUGUUCCGAGGCCAUAUCUGUAUAUGCUAGGCUCGUCAAGUAUAACCUGAGUAUUCCGCGUGUGCAACUGUUUUGCACCCGUUGUAUUUGAACAUAGAGCCUAUCACACCCGAUCAUCACGUGGUGUCUCAGCACGAAGAACUUUCGCAACGGUGCAUACUCAGGGAGAACACUUCUUGAUAAUUAGUGAGAGAUCAUCUUAAAAUGCUACCGUCAAUCAAAGCAAGAUAAGAUGCAUAAAGGAUAAACAUCACAUGCAAUCAAUAUAAGUGAUAUGAUAUGGACAUCAUCAUCUUGUGCUUGUGAUCUCCAUCUUCGAAGCACCGUCGUGAUCACCAUCGUCACCGGCGCGACACCUUGAUCUCCAUCGUAGCAUCGUUGUCGUUACGCCAUCUAUUGCUUCUACGACUAUCGCUACCGCUUAGUGAUAAAGUAAAGCAAUUACAGGGCGUUUGCAUUUCAUACAAUAAAGCGACAACCAUAUGGCUCCUGCCAGUUGCCGAUAACUUCGGUUACAAAACAUGAUCAUCUCAUACAAUAAAAUAUAGCAUCAUGUCUUGGCCAUAUCACAUCACAACAUGCCCUGCAAAAACAAGUUAGACGUCCUCUACUUUGUUGUUGCAAAUUUUACGUGGCUGCUACGGGCUUAAGCAAGAACCAAUCUCACCUACGCAUCAAAACCACAACGAUAGUUUGUCAAAUAGACUCCGUUUUAACCUUCACAAGGACCGGGCAUAGCCACACUCGGUUCAACUAAAGUGAGAGAGACAGACACCCGCCAGCCACCUUUAAGCACGAGUGCUCGUAACGGUGAAACCAGUCUCGCGUAAGCGUACGCGUAAUGUCGGUCCGGGCCGCUUCAUCUCACAAUACCGCUGAACCAAAGUAUGACAUGCUGGUAGGCAGUAUGAUUUAUAUCGUCCACAACUCACUUGUGUUCUACUCGUGCAUAUAACAUCAACGCAUAAAACCUAGGCUCUGAUGCCACUGUUGGGGAACGUAGUAAUUUCAAAAAAUUUCCUACGCACAUGCAAGAUCAUGGUGAUGAUAUAGCAACGAGGGGAGAGUGUUGUCUACGUACCCUCGUAGACCGAAGCGGAAGCGUUGACGCAACGUAGAGGAAGUAGUCGUACGUCCUCCGGUUCAACCGAUCCAAGUACCGUUACUCCGGCACCUCCGAGUUCUUGACACGCGUACAGCUCGAUGACGCACCCUCGAUCUCCGAUCCAGCAGAGGCGCCGAGGGGGAGUUCCGUCAGCACGACGGCGUGGUGACGAUCUUGAUGUUCUCCUGUUGCAGGGCUUCGCCUAAGCACCGCUACAAUAUGACCGAGGUGUAAUAUCGUGGAGGGGGGCACCGCACACGGCUAAGGAACGAUCAAUGAUCAACUUGUGUGUUCUAGGGUGCCCCCCUACCCCCGUAUAUAAAGGAGGGAUGGAGGAGGUGGCCGGCCCUAGGGGGGGCGCGCCAUGAGGAGGGGGAAACCUACUCCAAGUAGGUUUCCCUCUCUUUUCCUUAUCUUAUUUGGAGGGGGAAGGAAAGAGUACUAGUAUUAGGAAGUAGUACUAGUAGUAGUAAUAGGAAGAGGGGGAAGGAGAAAGGAAAGGGGGGGCCGGCCCCCCUCCCCAAUUCGGAUUGGGCUUGGGGGGGCGCGCCCCCCUCCCUUGCUCCUUCUCUCUUCUUCCUACACGGGCCCAAUAAGGCCCAUAUACCUCCCGGGGGGUUCCGGUAACCUCCCGGGGCUCCAAACUUCUCCGGAACCUUUCCGGUGUCCAAAUAUAUCCGUCCAAUAUAUCAAUCUUUAUGUCUCGACCAUUUCGAGACUCCUCGUCAUGUCCGCAAUCAUAUCCGGGACUCCAAACAACCUUCGGUACAUCAAAAUACAUAAACUCAUAAUAUAACUGUCAUCGAAACCUUAAGCGUGCGGACCCUACGGUUCAAGAACGAUGUAGACAUGACUGAGACACAUCUCUGGUCAAUAACCAAUAGCGGGACCUGGAUGCCCAUAUUGGUUCCUACAUAUUCUACGAAGAUCUUUAUCGGUCAAACCGCAUAACAACAUACGUUGUUCCCUUUGUCAUCGGUAUGUUACUUGUCCGAUAUUCGAUCGUCGGUAUCCAAUACCUAGUUCAAUCUCGUUAUCGACAAGUCUCUUUACUCGUUCUGUAAUACUUUAUCUUAUAACUAACUCAUUAGUUACAUGCUUGCAAGGCUUAGGUGAUGAGCAUUGCCGAGAGGGCCCAGAGAUACCUCUCCGACAAUCGGAGUGACAAAACCUAAUCUCGAAUUAUGCUAACUCAACAUGUACCUUCGGAGACACCUGUAGUACUCCUUUAUAAUCACCCAGUUACGUUGUGACGUUUGGUAGUACCCAAAGUGUUCCUCCGGCAAACGGGAGUUACACAAUUCUCAUAGUUACAGGAACAUGUAUAAGUCAUGAAGGAAGCAAUAGCAGAAUACUAAACGAUCAAGUGCUAAGCUAACGGGAUGGGUCAUGUCAAUCACCUCAUUCUCCUAAUGAUGUGAUCCCAUUAAUCAAAUGACAACACAUGUCAAUGGUUAGGAAACAUAACCAUCUUUGAUUAAUGAGCUAGUCAAGUAGAGGCAUACUAGUGACUAUAUGUUUGUCUAUGUAUUCACACAUGUAUCAUGUUUCCGGUUAAUACAAUUCUAGCAUGAAUAAUAAACAUUUAUCAUGAAAUGAGGAAAUAAAUAAUAACUUUAUUAUUGCCUCUAGGGCAUAUUUCCUUCACUANNNNNNNNNNNNNNNNNNNNNNNNNNNNNNNNNNNNNNNNNNNNNNNNNNNNNNNNNNNNNNNNNNNNNNNNNNNNNNNNNNNNNNNNNNNNNNNNACAAGUUAGACGUCCUCUACUUUGUUGUUGCAUGUUUUACGUGGCUGCUACGGGCUUAAGUAAGAACCAAUCUCACCUACGCAUCAAAACCACAACGAUAGUUUGUCAAAUAGACUCCGUUUUAACCUUCUCAAGGACCGGGCGUAGCCAUACUUGGUUCAACUAAAGUUGGAGAGGCAGUCGCCCGCAAGCCAUCUCUGUGCAAAGCACGUCGAGGGAACCGGUCUCGCGUAAGCGUACGCGUAAGGUUGGUCCGGGUCGUCUCGUCCAACAAUACCGCUGAACCAAAAUAUGACAUGCUGGUAGGCAGUAUGACUUGUAUCGUCCACAACUCACUUGUGUUCUACUCGUGCAUAUAACAUCAACAUCAUUAACCUAGGCUCUGAUACCACUGUUGGGUUUCGUAGUAAUUUCAAAAAUUUUCCUACGCGCACACAGGAUCAUGUGAUGCAUAGCAACGAGAGGAGAGUGUUGUCUACGUACCCAACGCAGACCGACUGCGGAAGCGAUGACACGACGUAGAGGAAGUAGUCGUACGUCUUCACGAUCCAACCGAUCAAGCACCGAAACUAUGGCACCUCCUAGUUCGAGCACACGUUCAGCUCGAUGACGAUCCCCGGACUCCGAUCCAGCAAAGUGUCGGGGAAGAGUUUCGUCAGCACGACGGCGUGGUGACGAUCUUGAUGAACUACAGCAGCAGGGCUUCGCCUAAACUCCGCUACAGUAUUAUCGAGGAAUAUGGUGGCAGGGGGCACCGCACACGGCUAAGGAAUCGAUCACGUGGAUCAACUUGUGUCAACUUGUGUGUUUAGAGGUGCCCCUGCCUCAGUAUAUAAAGGAGGAGAGGAGGGGAGGCUGGCCGGCCAAAGAGGGAGGCGCAGGAGAGUCCUACUCCCUCUGGGAGUAGGAUUCCUCCCCCCAAUCCUAGUCCAACUAGGAUUCCUCGGAGGGGAAGGGAGAGAGGGGGGCCGGCCAUCUUCUCCUAGUCCUAAUAGGACUAGGGGAGGGGGAAGAGGCGCAGCCACCUUGGGCUGCCCCUUUCUCCUUUCCACUAAGGCCCAUGAAGGCCCAUAUGGCUCCCGGGGGGUUCCGGUAACCUCCCGGUAACCCGGUAAAAUCCCGAUUUCACCCGGAACACUUCCGAUGUCCAAACAUAGGCUUCCAAUAUAUCAAUCUUUACGUCUCGACCAUUUCGAGACUCCUCGUCAUGUCCGUGAUCAUAUCCGGGACUCCGAACAACCUUCGGUACAUCAAAAUGCAUAAACUCAUAAUAUAACCGUCAUCGUAACCUUAAGCGUGCGGACCCUACGGGUUCGAGAACAAUGUAGACAUGACCGAGACAUGUCUCUGGUCAAUAACCAAUAGCGGGACCUGGAUGCCCAUAUUGGCUCCUACAUAUUCUACGAAGAUCUUUAUCGGUCAGACCGCAUAACAACAUACGUUGUUCCCUUUGUCAUCGGUAUGUUACUUGCCCGAGAUUCGAUCGUCGAUAUCCAAUACCUAGUUCAAUCUCGUUACUGGCAAGUCUCUUUACUCGUUCCGUAAUACAUCAUCUCACAACUAACAUAUUAGUUGUAAUGCUUGCAAGGCUUAUGUGAUGUGUAUUACCGAGAGGGCCCAGAGAUACCUCUCCGACAAUCGGAGUGACAAAUCCUAAUCUCGAAAUACGCCAACCCAACAUCGACCAUUGGAGACACCUGUAGUACUCCUUUAUAAUCACCCAUUUACGUUGUGACGUUUGGUAGUACCCAAAGUGUUCCUCCGGUAAACGGGAGUUGCAUAAUCUCAUAGUCAUAGGAACAUGUAUAAGUCAUGAAGAAAGCAAUAGCAACAUACUAAACGAUCAGGUGCUAAGCUAAUGGAAUGGGUCAUGUCAAUCAGAUCAUUCUACUAAUGAUGUGACCUCGUUAAUCAAAUAACAACUCAUUGUUCAUGGUUAGGAAACAUAACCAUCUUUGAUUAACGAGCUAGUCAAGUAGAGGCAUACUAGUGACACUCUGUUUGUCUAUGUAUUCACACAUGUAUUAUGUUUCCGGAAAAUACAAUUCUAGCAUGAAUAAUAAACACUUAUCAUGAUUAUAAGGAAAUAAAUAAUAACUUUAUUAUUGUCUCUAGGGCAUAUUUCCUUCACUCCAUAGAUCCGGAGAACGGUGUUUUGGUCAUCUUGCCCAUGAGGCACGGUUCGCAAGUACCAAGUGAUUCAUAAUCAAGUGAUUCCAGAAGUCCAUCAAUAUGGAGUUUCUUCAUGCGUUUUACACCGAUAUGACCUAAACGGCAGUGCCACAAAUAUGUUGCACUAUCAUUAUCAACUCUGCAUCUUUUGGCUUCAACAUUAUGAAUAUGUGUAUCACUACUAUCGAGAUUUAAUAAAAAUAGACCACUCUUCAAGGGUGCAUGACCAUAAAAGAUAUUACUCAUAUAAAUAGAACAACCAUUAUUCUCUGAUUUAAAUGAAUAACCGUCUCGCAUCAAACAAGAUCCAGAUAUAAUGUUCAUGCUCAACGCAGGCACCAAAUAACAAUUAUUCAGGUCUAAAACUAAUCCCGAUGGUAGAUGUAGAGGUAGCGUGCCGACCGUGAUCACAUCGACUUUGGAACCAUUUCUCACGCGCAUCGUCACCUCGUUCUUAGCUAAUCUUCGCUUAAUCCAUAGUCCCUGUUUCGAGUUGCAAAUGUUAGCAACAGAACCAGUAUCAAAUACCCAGGUGCUACUGCGAGCAUUAGUAAGGUACACAUCAAUAACAUGUAUAUCACAUAUACCUUUGUUUACUUUGCCAUCCUUCUUAUCCGCCAAAUACUUGGGGCAGUUCCGCUUCCAGUGUCCAGUCUGCUUGCAGUAGAAGCACUCAGUUUCAGGCUUAGGUCCAGACUUGGGUUUCUUCACUUGAGCAGCAACUUGUUUGCUGUUCCUUUUGAAGUUCCCCUUCUUCUUCCCUUUGCCCCUUUUCUUGAAACCAGUGGUCUUGUUGACCAUCAACACUUGAUGCUCCUUUUUGAUUUCUACCUCCGCGGCUUUCAGCAUCGCGAAGAGCUCGGGAAUAGUCUUGUUCAUCCCUUGCAUAUUAUAGUUCAUCACAAAGCUCUUGUAGCUUGGUGGCAGUGAUUGGAGAAUUCUGUCAAUGACGCUAUCAUCCGGAAGAUUAACUCCCAGUUGAAUCAAGUGAUUAUUAUACCCAGACAUUUUGAGUAUAUGCUCACCGACAGAACUAUUCUCCUCCAUCUUGCAGCUGUAGAACUUAUUGGAGACUUCAUAUCUCUCAAUCCAGGCAUUUGCUUGAAAUAUUAACUUCAACUCCUUGAACAUCUCAUAUGCCCCAUGACGUUCAAAACGUCGUUGAAGACCCGGUUCUAAGCCGUAAAGCAUGGCACACUGAACUAUAGAGUAGUCAUCAGCUUUGCUCUGCCAGACGUUCUUAACGUCGUCAGUUGCAUCAGCAGCAGGCCUGGCACCCAGCGGUGCUUCCAGGACGUAACUCUUCUGUGCAGCAAUGAGGAUAAUCCUCAGGUUACGGACCCAGUCCGUGUAAUUGCUACCAUCAUCUUUCAACUUUGCUUUCUCAAGGAACGCAUUAAAAUUCAACGGAACAAUAGCACGAGCCAUCUAUCUACAUACAAACAUAGACAAGCAAAAUACUAUCAGGUACUAAGUUCAUGAUAAAUUUAAGUUCAAUUAAUCAUAUUACUAAAGAAGUCCCACUUAGACAGACAUCUCUCUAGUCAUCUAAGUGAUUACGUGAUCCAAAUCAACUAAACCAUGUCCGAUCAUCACGUGAGAUGGAGUAGUUUCAAUGGUGAACAUCUCUAUGUUGAUCAUAUCUACUAUAUGAUUCACGCUCGACCUUUCGGUCCCCGUGUUCCGAGGCCAUAUCUGUAUAUGCUAGGCUCGUCAAGUAUAACCUGAGUAUUCCGCGUGUGCAACUGUUUUGCACCCGUUGUAUUUGAACGUAGAGCCUAUCACACCCGAUCAUCACGUGGUGUCUCGGCACGAAGAACUUUUGCAACGGUGCAUACUCAGGGAGAACACUUCUUGAUAAUUAGUGAGAGAUCAUCUUAAAAUGCUACCGUCAAACAAAGCAAGAUAAGAUGCAAAAAGGAUAAACAUCACAUGCAAUCAAUAUAAGUGAUAUGAUAUGGUCAUCAUCAUCUUGUGCUUGUGAUCUCCAUCUUCGAAGCACCGUCGUGAUCACCAUCGUCACCGGCGCGACACCUUGAUCUCCAUCGUAGCAUCGUUUUCGUUACGCCAUCUAUUGCUUCUACGACUAUCGCUAUCGCUUAGAGAUAAAGUAAAGCAAUUACAGGGCGUUUGCAUUUCAUACAAUAAAGCGACAACCAUAUGGCUCCUGCCAGUUGCCGAUAACUUCGGUUACAAAACAUGAUCAUCUCAUACAAUAAAAUAUAGCAUCAUGUCUUGGCCAUAUCACAUCACAACAUGCCCUGCAAAAACAAGUUAGACGUCCUCUACUUUGUUGUUGCAAAUUUUACGUGGCUGCUACGGGCUUAAGCAAGAACCAAUCUCACCUACGCAUCAAAACCACAACGAUAGUUUGUCAAAUAGACUCCGUUUUAACCUUCACAAGGACCGGGCAUAGCCACACUCGGUUCAACUAAAGUGAGAGAGACAGACACCCGCCAGCCACCUUUAAGCACGAGUGCUCGUAACGGUGAAACCAGUCUCGCGUAAGCGUACGCGUAAUGUCGGUCCGGGCCGCUUCAUCUCACAAUACCGCUGAACCAAAGUAUGACAUGCUGGUAGGCAGUAUGACUUAUAUCGUCCACAACUCACUUGUGUUCUACUCGUGCAUAUAACAUCAACGCAUAAAACCUAGGCUCGGAUGCCACUGUUGGGGAACGUAGUAAUUUCAAAAAAUUUCCUACGCACACGCAAGAUCAUGGUGAUGAUAUAGCAACGAGGGGAGAGUGUUGUCUACGUACCCUCGUAGACCGAAGCGGAAGUGUUGACGCAACAUAGAGGAAGUAGUCGUACGUCCUCCGGUUCAACCGAUCCAAGUACCGUUACUCCGGCACCUCCGAGUUCUUGACACGCGUACAGCUCGAUGACGCACCCUCGAUCUCCGAUCCAGCAGAGGCGCCGAGGGGGAGUUCCGUCAGCACGACGGCGUGGUGACGAUCUUGAUGUUCUCCUGUUGCAGGGCUUCGCCUAAGCACCGCUACAAUAUGACCGAGGUGUAAUAUCGUGGAGGGGGGCACCGCACACGGCUAAGGAACGAUCAAUGAUCAACUUGUGUGUUCUAGGGUGCCCCCCUACCCCCGUAUAUAAAGGAGGGAGGGAGGAGGUGGCCGGCCCUAGGGGGGGCGCGCCAUGAGGAGGGGGAAACCUACUCCAAGUAGGUUUCCCUCUCUUUUCCUUAUCUUAUUUGGAGGGGGGAGGAAAGAGUACUAGUAUUAGGAAGUAGUACUAGUAGUAGUAAUAGGAAGAGGGGGAAGGAGAAAGGAAAGGGGGGGCCGGCCCCCCUCCCCAAUUCGGAUUGGGCUUGGGGGGGCGCGCCCCCUUCCCUUGCUCCUUCUCUCUUCCUCCUACAUGGGCCCAAUAAGGCCCAUACACCUCCCGGGGGGUUCCGGUAACCUCCCGGGGCUCCAAACUUCUCCGGAACCUUUCCGGUGUCCAAAUAUAUCCGUCCAAUAUAUCAAUCUUUAUGUCUCGACCAUUUCGAGACUCCUCGUCAUGUCCGUAAUCAUAUCCGGGACUCCGAACAACCUUCGGUACAUCAAAAUACAUAAACUCAUAAUAUAACUGUCAUCGAAACCUUAAGCGUGCGGACCCUACGGUUCGAGAACGAUGUAGACAUGACUGAGACACAUCUCUGGUCAAUAACCAAUAGCGGGACCUGGAUGCCCAUAUUGGUUCCUACAUAUUCUACGAAGAUCUUUAUCGGUCAAACCGCAUAACAACAUACGUUGUUCCCUUUGUCAUCGGUAUGUUACUUGUCCGAGAUUCGAUCGUCGGUAUCCAAUACCUAGUUCAAUCUCGUUAUCGACAAGUCUCUUUACUCGUUCUAUAAUACUUCAUCUUAUAACUAACUCAUUAGUUACAUGCUUGCAAGGCUUAGGUGAUGAGCAUUGCCGAGAGGGCCCAGAGAUACCUCUCCGACAAUCGGAGUGACAAAACCUAAUCUCGAAUUAUGCUAACUCAACAUGUACCUUCGGAGACACCUGUAGUACUCCUUUAUAAUCACCCAGUUACGUUGUGACGUUUGGUAGUACCCAAAGUGUUCCUCCGGCAAACGGGAGUUACACAAUUCUCAUAGUUACAGGAACAUGUAUAAGUCAUGAAGGAAGCAAUAGCAGAAUACUAAACGAUCAAGUGCUAAGCUAACGGGAUGGGUCAUGUCAAUCACCUCAUUCUCCUAAUGAUGUGAUCCCAUUAAUCAAAUGACAACACAUGUCAAUGGUUAGGAAACAUAACCAUCUUUGAUUAAUGAGCUAGUCAAGUAGAGGCAUACUAGUGACUAUAUGUUUGUCUAUGUAUUCACACAUGUAUCAUGUUUCCGGUUAAUACAAUUCUAGCAUGAAUAAUAAACAUUUAUCAUGAAAUGAGGAAAUAAAUAAUAACUUUAUUAUUGCCUCUAGGGCAUAUUUCCUUCACUAUUCCUACGGAGCGACCCGCCGGACCAGCGCGUAGGAUUAGCUAUUCUGUGUGCUCGCUUAGUUUAGCGCCAUCGUGUGUGUCUCUAUAUUUAUUUAUUUAUUUAUUUAUUUAUUUGUUCAGGACACAUACAAUCGUAUUUUUUAAUCCCUUCGUUGGAUCAUGUUAUAUUGUAGAUAUGUUGUUUCAGUAUUUUUUUUCAUAAAGGCCUGCUGCAGCCGACAGUUGUGUCAAUGUCCGAAUAUAUAUCCUGGACUAAAUAUAUAUCAGAGUAUAUGUUCUUGCAGUAUACACCAUUGUUGUUUGUGUUAGUAGCCCAACAUCUGCUUGAUAGUAUUUCUUAGUUGUGUCAAUGGAAAACUGUGAGUGAUUUUCAUUUGAUUGUUCUUGCAUAGUAAUCCAUAUGCACGCAUUACACCUGAGAAGGGCUGAUUUACAUUUGUCCAGCUAGCCGGCAAGAAUGACAAUAACCUACUUAUUAUAGUUGUAUGCUAUACCUGCAGUGUAUUCAUACACAACCAAACACACCCGCCUUCAGCCUUGCUCGACGCCUCAGGGGGCGGCUCAGACGAACCCUAGUUGGCGCCACCCCUGACCCUUCAUCCCUCCCUGCCUCCUCGCUGCCGCUGAAGAAGGCGGGCGAGCGAAGCUCGCCUGGCGGACGGCGGGCUCUCCUCCUGUCUCUGCGAGGGGAUCUUUGGCCGAGACGAGACGGUGACCCCGGGCGCCCGGCAUGGAGGUGUAGUUGGCACAAUUGGGCAGCGGCCCGAUGGGAUUCCGGCGGUGGCUGGGCCACCAUCACUGCGGGGACAACAUGAGGCCGUCCAUGGCAGCUGGCAGCGGCGGAUUUGGAGAUUCCCACCCCAAAUCGGUUCUCCUCCGUCAUAACACGGACGCCUCGGGUGGAGACCCUGGGCUUGGCGGUGGUGGCCAUCUCCUUCGUCGAGAUGGUCGGCCUAAAGGCUGGGUGGUCGGAUCAUUAGAUCCGUCAUCUAGUCCCGGCUAUGAGUUGGGAGAUAUAGUUGCUGGUGAAAACCGAGUCGACGGCGGGCGAUAGCGGCAUUCUGCGUCGUUAUGUUGAUGAAGGCAUUGUCGUGUAACUACUGUCGACCCACUCGUGCUACUCUGGAGGAAACCCUACGAUCAAUUCUUCUCGAUCGGGAGAUGGAGGCCAUGCGGUGUCGUUUCUCUUUUAGGAGCAUUGUUUGUGGAGUAGUGCUAGACGGCAGAGGCAGGGGGUGCAUCGGCUUCGUCUUGCGCGGAGCUUCGGUGGAGAUGUCGAAUCAUGCCUGGCAGAGGGUGCUACGUUGUGUCAUGCCUGUUCGGCAGGUGUUGUGCACGACGGAUAUUGCAGAGACUUCAAGCUACGUCGGCUGCUGGUACCUGGCGGCAUGGUGUUGCGCUGUACCAGUGGCAUCUAUGACAUCCGUGACGUGCUCAGCAGUUUCCGCGCAUGGAGGUGGUGCCAUUGGGCACCAUAGUGGCGUUGACGGAUGGUCGGACUGGGGAGGAUGAUGCGGAUCUUUGUGCUAAAGAUGGGUCGGCGGUUCGAUGGUGACGACGACUUCUAAAACGUGUGCGUGUGGUGUAAGCUUUAGAUUUGCUGCAUCGACUAUAGGUUUCGAUACGUUAUGUGGAUAGAUUGGUAACGACACCGAUUUUAGAUAUGGGGAGUGAGAGCACUCCAUAUUAUCAAGUUUAUAGGUGUGAGUGGUAGCUUCGAGUGGCUUGAUGUAUGUUCAUCUCAUGCCUUUGUUGAAUAAUUAAUAAAGAUGGUUGCAUGCCUUUGUUGAAUAAUUAAUAAAGAUGGUUGCAUGCAUCUAUUGACGCAGAGGCCGGGUUUUUAACCUCCUUUUUCGAGAAAAAAAUGUGCAAUGUAUUCAUAUGAUUAGUAUUUUUGCUAAUUAGUUCUUAUGCAAUCCAUGCUUAUUGGCAGCUGAGAGAAAUAGGCAUGGUUGAUGAGAAAGAACAUUACUUUUUCCAAGAUGGUGCUGCGGCGAGAUGAAAGGAACAUUUCAACGUUGAUGACACUCCCUUGUUUGUGCCUCGACCACAAGCACUCCUUCCAAC